GUAGUUUGACUCCGUGCUACAGAACACGCUGGCGGCAGGCUUAACACAUGCAAGUCGAGCGAGACCUUCGGGUCUAGCGGCGGACGGGUGAGUAACGCGUGGGAACGUGCCCUUUUCUGCGGAAUAGCCUCGGGAAACUGAGAGUAAUACCGCAUACGCCCUUUCGGGGGGAAAGAUUUAUCGGAGAAGGAUCGGCCCGCGUUGGAUUAGGUAGUUGGUGGGGUAAUGGCCUACCAAGCCGACGAUCCAUAGCUGGUUUGAGAGGAUGAUCAGCCACACUGGGACUGAGACACGGCCCAGACUCCUACGGGAGGCAGCAGUGGGGAAUCUUAGACAAUGGGGGCAACCCUGAUCUAGCCAUGCCGCGUGAGUGAUGAAGGCCUUAGGGUUGUAAAGCUCUUUCAGCUGGGAAGAUAAUGACGGUACCGGCAGAAGAAGCCCCGGCUAACUCCGUG
rnacentral:rRNA from 1 species